rnacentral:snRNA from 1 species
AUCGCUUCUCGGCCUUUUGGCUAAGAUCAAGUGUAGUAUCUUGGCUAUGUGAGGCAAGCGACCCUUU